CACGUAGGGCGCAAGCGUUGUCCGGAAUUAUUGGGCGUAAAGAGCUCGUAGGCGGUCUGUUACGUCUGCUGUGAAAACCCGGGGCUUAACCCUGGGCUUGCAGUGGAUACGGGCAGACUAGAGGCAGGUAGGGGAGAAUGGAAUUCCCGGUGUAGCGGUGAAAUGCGCAGAUAUCGUAAGGAAGACCAGUGGCGAAGGCGGGUCUCUGGACAGUUCCUGACGCUGAGGCACGAAGGUCAGGGGGAGCAAACGGG
rnacentral:rRNA from 1 species